UGUCAAAGAAAAUCUUUCAAGUGCCUGUGA
rnacentral:piRNA from 1 species